rnacentral:rRNA from 1 species
UGUCUCAGUACAAGCCAAAUUAAGGUGAAACCGCGAAAGGCUCAUUAAAUCAGUUAUGGUUCCUUAGAUCGUACCUACAUUUACUUGGAUAACUGUGGUAAUUCUAGAGCUAAUACAUGCAAACAGAGCUCCGACCGGAAACGGAAGGAGCGCUUUUAUUAGAUCAAAACCAAUCGGUGGCGGUUCGCCGUCAUCGUACAAUUUGGUGACUCUGAAUAACUUUACGCUGAUCGCACGGUCUUGCACCGGCGACGCAUCUUUCAAAUGUCUGCCUUAUCAACUGUCGAUGGUAGGUUCUGCGCCUACCAUGGUUGUAACGGGUAACGGGGAAUCAGGGUUCGAUUCCGGAGAGGGAGCCUGAGAAACGGCUACCACAUCCAAGGAAGGCAGCAGGCGCGCAAAUUACCCACUCCCGGCACGGGGAGGUAGUGACGAAAAAUAACGAUACGGGACUCAUCCGAGGCCCCGUAAUCGGAAUGAGUACACUCUAAACCCUUUAACGAGGAUCAAUUGGAGGGCAAGUCUGGUGCCAGCAGCCGCGGUAAUUCCAGCUCCAAUAGCGUAUAUUAAAGUUGUUGCGGUUAAAAAGCUCGUAGUCGAAUCUGUGUCCCGCGCCGCCGGUUCAUCGUUCGCGGUGUUAACUGGCGUGCCGCGGGACGUCCUGCCGGUGGGCUUAGCUCGCAAGGGCGGCCCAACUCAAUCCCGCCGCGGUGCUCUUCAUUGAGUGUCGAGGUGGGCCGGCACGUUUACUUUGAACAAAUUAGAGUGCUUAAAGCAGGCUAAAACUUCGCCUGAAUACUGUGUGCAUGGAAUAAUGGAAUAGGACCUCGGUUCUAUUUUGUUGGUUUUCGGAACCCCGAGGUAAUGAUUAAUAGGAACGGAUGGGGGCAUUCGUAUUGCGACGUUAGAGGUGAAAUUCUUGGAUCGUCCGCAAGAC